UGGUGGUGGUGGUGAUGAUGAUGGCGAUUGUGAUGAAGAUGGUGAUAAUGAUGAUGAUCAUCGUCGUCGGCGUCGUCGUCGGCGUCAUCAUCAUGA
rnacentral:miRNA from 1 species